CGAUGGGCACGAUACCUCAGGCAACCUAAUGUUUAACCUUUUAAGCAGGGGAGGUUGAGACCUGCAAAACAUAAAAACAUAGUCCGUCCUUAGACAUAACCCCUCAAACUUGAUUGGCAAGGACAUACCCCCGCCUAGCUGUGACUAACUGAACCUAAAAGGGGUGGGCGGGCAGGAAGCUGUUUGCUGGCCCGUAUCCCAAGUGGCACUGAG